rnacentral:rRNA from 1 species
AUGAGGCCGCCACAACCACCUACCACAUAUCCAUCUUCAGAGUUGUACUGUUGUAACGGCCUUGCCCGGUCUCGCUGCCGCCGACGCCACCACGACGCCAGACAGCAUCGACCUCCUACGCGUGUCCGUCACCACACAUCUGACGCCAAGCCUCCGCUGCUCCAUGCCGCCAAGAGCCGCCGCCAAGAAUAUGUAGAACGAAACACCGCUCCACCGAAGGGAGGCAGCACACCCCCACCCCUCACCUGCAGACCCUUCCAUCCGAUCCCAAUGUCCUUGGUGUCGCCUCCAGGAAGGUUACGGUGCACAGAGCGCCGCCGACGCCCGAUCCGCAUCGGAUCUUGGGCUUUCACCCGGACAUGGGUUGGAGAGGAGAGAUGGUGCCCUCAGCAACGCCCCCAAGGAGGAAAGCGGCGCCAAAAAUCGGCGUCGCCGCUGCCGGUCAGCCUAAGGCAGCCAAGGUUUCCCCCGGACACCGAUCUGCUCCACCAGAACACACCGGAGGUGGAUCCGGCAAGAUCCAAACCGAACCGGGGACUGGGAAGGGAUGCAUGGAAGGGAGAGGGGCAAUACCUCCAGAUCUGGCACGCCUACGGCUCGCCGUCCUCACGGCCGAACCCACGGGCACGCCGCACGCCACCAGAUGCGCCGCACCAGAUCGAUGAUGGCCAGCCUCAGCGCCGCCCCCCACUCUCCCGACGAGGGAGAGGAGGAAACAGCGCCGCCGCCGAGCCCGGGGCCGCCGCCCCGACUUGCCCGCGCCUGGCUAGACGCAGCCGCCGCCGGAUGCAGGCCUUCGUCCAGGGCCGAAGACUUGCGGCGUGCGACGAGGGUGCCCCGCCACCGCCGUCCGCCGAGUGGGCUUUGCCCGUCGGCCUCCUCCGGCGGUGGCAGGCGGAGCGAGGGAGGAAAGGGGAGCGGGGGCGGCGGCGGCUAGGUCGCCCGAGCCGCCCCCCAGGGAGCGACGCGAGCGAUACCCUUUUCUAUCUCGAGGAAAAAGCUUGGUCGCUGCUACAAGCGAGACGCUGCAAGGCCAGCCACCCGCGCAUAGGCCUCCGCUGA